AACGAACGCUGGCGGCAGGCUUAACACAUGCAAGUCGAACGCAUCCUUCGGGGUGAGUGGCAGACGGGUGAGUAACGCGUGGGAACGUGCCCUUCAGUUCGGGAUAACCCAGGGAAACUUGGGCUAAUACCGGAUACGUGCGAGAGCAGAAAGAUUUAUCGCUGAAGGAUCGGCCCGCGUCGGAUUAGCUAGUUGGUGGGGUAAUGGCCCACCAAGGCGACGAUCAGUAGCUGGUCUGAGAGGAUGAUCAGCCACAUUGGGACUGAGACACGGCCCAAACUCCUACGGGAGGCAGCAGUGGGGAAUAUUGGACAAUGGGCGCAAGCCUGAUCCAGCCAUGCCGCGUGAGUGAUGAAGGCCUUAGGGUUGUAAAGCUCUUUCGCCCGGGACGAUAAUGACGGUACCGGAAGAAGAAGCCCCGGCUAACUUCGUGCCAGCAGCCGCAGUAA
rnacentral:rRNA from 1 species